rnacentral:rRNA from 1 species
ACAACCAGAAGGUGGGCUUAGAAGCAGCCAUCCUUGAAAGAGUUCGUAACAGAUCACUGGUCUAGCUUGCGGGCCGGGAAAAGGGACGGGGCUCAAACUGAUUACCGAUACUUCAGACCAUCGAAAGAUGAUGUGGUAACGCGGCGUAGUGCAUGGGUGGAAGGUAGGCUUUGAGGUCUACUGGACCGUGUACUAAUGAGAGUCUUGGGAAGAGUAGCAGCACAGUGUGGUGAGAAUCCGCACCGCCUUAUAAACCAGGGUUCCUCGGCACUGUUUAUCAGCCGAGGGUUAGCCGGUCCUAAGGUCAUUCUUAACCGAAAUGAUCGAAAGGGAAAUGCGUUAAUAUUCGUAUGCCUCCCAUACAAUAAUGGUGACGGCUUGGGCAAAGUCAAUGGAUCAUAUGCCAGGUCCAUCGAUAACUAAUUUCUGGAGAACUGUCACAGUGAGAAAGAAAGAAAGUCCCAGGUCCCAUGAAAAGCCGUAUGGAGAGACCGUACCGAGAACUGAAACAGGUGUUUUUGGGUGAGUAGCCUAAGGCGUAUCGGAUACAAAUAUCGCGAGGGAACUCGGCAAAAUAGCUCCGUAACUUCGGGAGAAGGAGUGCCAGAUUGGGAACAAUCUGGUCGCAGUGACUAGGGAGCUCCGACUGUUUAAUAAAAACAUAGGGGACUGCCAGAUCGAAAGGUUGUGUAUAGUCCCUGAAUCCUGCUCAGUGCUGGUAUCUUAAAUCGGGUUUCAACCUGACGAAGGACCAGUAAACAGCGGGGGUAACUAUGACCCUCUUAAGGUAGCGUAAUACCUUGUCGCUUAAUUGGCGACUUGCAUGAAUGGUCCAACGAGGGCUCCACUGUCCCCGCGAUAUGUCCGGCGAAAUUGACUUUACUGGCGCACAGUCCAGUACAUUCUACCCGCAAGCGAAGACCCCGUAGAGCUUUACUGCAGCCUGUCGUUGCAUUGUCGCUUUCCAUGUACUGUGUAGGUGGGAGAUGUUGAUCCCUGGGACGUCAGUCCUGGGGGGAGUCGAAAAUAGAGACACCACCCUUGGAGAGUAACUAUGCUAACUGUUUAUCAGGACACCGAUUGGUGGGCAGUUUGGGUGGGGCGCCACGCGCUCGAAAACCUAACAAGCGUGCCCAAUGGUCAGCUUAAGUGGUUCAGCACUCCACUGUUAACUGUAAGGGGAAAAGCUGGCUUGACGUGGAUCGGCACAAUAACGAUCGACGAUGCGAAAGCAGGGCCUAACGAACCUACCAGGCUUAUAUUUGAGGCCGGUAGAUAACAGAAAAGUUACCUCGGGGAUAAUUGAGUUGUCACCAGCAAGAGCUCACAUCGACCUGGUGGCUUGCUACUUCGAUGUCGUCUCUUCCUAUCCUGGGUCUGCAGCAGGACCCAAGGGUGGGGUUGUUCGCCCAUUAAAAGGGAUCGUGAGAUGGGUUUAGACCGUCGUGAGACAGGUUUGUUGCUUGGUGGUAGAAUCGCGUAAGGUGUCUGAUGGAAGGGGUCCUUUAGUACGAGAGGAACGAGGGCUCGGGGCCACUAGUUUACCAGUUGUCUGACAAGGCAAUGCUGGGUAGCCACGCCCUGAAGGAUAAGAGCUGAAAGCAUCUAAGCUCGAAGCCACCCCAAAGACGAGACACCUCAGAAC